AAAUAAAAUAAUUCCUUUUUUGUUUUGGUAUUUAUUAUUUUAUUCAGCGGUAUAAAUUAUCAAUUCACACAAAAAAAUAAAAUAAAUAAGCAAUGUGAAUAAAUCAAAACCAUAUUUAAACUAAUCAGUUAGAUACAUAUAUAUAUAUACAUACAUAUGUAUAUGUACGAUAGAGAAUUUACAUUAACGUGAAGAAUCUUUGACAAAUAAAAAAGUUUUCCACAAAAGGACUUGGAUUUGAUCGUUCAGUUUGUAUUACAGCUAUAUGCUAUUGUUGCUGUCCGAUUUCGGUAAAACUCUCUAAACGAACUAAGAGACACAAACAAUUAUCAACUAAUAAGCAAAAGCCCAGGCAAUAAACAUGAAUACAUAUGGAUAUAAUCCCCAAGAUGACGUAUGUAAGGCAAUAAAAACAAAAACUUUGAGUCAUUUCUGGCGUGUGAACGAGUGUGUACCUGUUUAGAGUGGCGACGACAAUAGCGCUGCAAGGGAAUUCACUAUUCUGCUACCUAUGCACAACAGAUUCGAAAAAGUAAACAUCUGCCGCUCUGGAGUUGGGCAACUGGGUGAAGACAAAAUAAAAACUCAUUCGAAAUCUUAAAAAUUGACAAAGUCGAAGAAAAUUGGAACGAACUGAAUACAAAAAGUUCAUCAUAAUAUCACGAGUAAUAAUAUAUAGGCCAACACAGCUCUGCUACUAAUUAAAAUCUUAUGAAGUACUGAGAUUUAUAAAUUUUCUGCUGCGUACGGUCAAACUUUCAGUUCAAUCUGUGCAUCAGCAAACAGCUGCUUCAGAUUGACCUUUAACUCACUCCUCGAGUGCACUUAAUCACUUUGAAUAGUAGUUUCACUCCAAGAACUAUUUGGUUAUUAUAGCUGUAAGCAAUUUGCUAAAUUAUAAGUGGAUUUACAAAUGGAAAUUCACUAUAUUUACACGAAGAAUCCACUAUAUUCGUCUGCGUUUGUCAGUUGAUAAACUAAAUAUAAAUCUUUCCGUUAGCCCGAUUUUUACAAAUACAAAUAAGGUGGACCGUUGAAUGUUUGCAGAUGCAGCGGCGUAACAAACUUCGAUUUUUCACCAAACAAAAAACUGCCGUUUUUUGCAACGACACACACGCGCGCACCAAUGUACACAAUAUUGGAAAAACCGCAGAGGCGUAGCAAUGCAAAAUUUCAAUCAAGAAAACACGCUAUUAGAUAUUUGUAUGUGUUUCAAGCAAAUUUUCGACUUAUAAAUUUUUUACUAGAACUUUUACUUGUUAUUGUGUCGUAUGGUAUUGAAUGCAGAGAGUUUUCACAAACAAAAAAUAAAGUAAAAAUUGUAAUUGGACGACCACAAAAUUACGUCCAUCUUGUA